AGCGAGCCAAGCCUUUGCCCUCGAGCGACGCCACACCAGCUCCUUUGCCCACGCAGCCGCCGCCGAUCCCCUCCCUCAAACGCCGCCGCCCGUCGCUGCCGCCCCCGCCACCUCCCGUCGCGGGCAGGCGGGAGGAGCCCUGCCCGGCCAUGGCGACACCGCCGGCGGCCUCCUCCUCCCCCUCACCUUCUCUCCCUCUCCCAAGGGAGGGAAGGGAAUGGAAGGGAUCUGAUUGGAGCGGUGGAUCUGCGCCCUUGCCGUCUCUUCUUUUCUUCACCGAUUCCAGGAGGAGAUCGAAGUGGGAGGUAGACGAGCAGGAGCGCCGCGUCCGCGACAGCGAUGAACGAUGACCCAGGUUCUCCUCUCCCAUGGCAGGGACACCAACUGGUGGCGCAACGGACAGCGGGAGAUCGGCUGGUGGCAACGGAUGGCAGGAGGCCGCAGGACCGUGCGAGGAGCAGGUAGCCGGAGGAUGUCGCCGGUGGAAAUCUGGCAAGUGGCGGCGGCAUAGAGGGCUUUAUGGUUUGAUGUUGGUCUUUUUAUCUAUAGCACUGAAUUUCAUGUAUAGGUUGUGCUGAUCCUAAGAUUGCCAAAAACUGCUUUGUAAAAAUCACCCAGGUCUGCUUUUUAUUGUGAUUAUGCAAAUUGCUCGAAACCUGAGUUGUCCUAUUUUGUUGAUGAAGGAAUUGAAAUCUGAAGACAUGGUGAUUUUUACCCAAUGUGUUAUGCCCUUGAGCACGAAGAGCUUUUGAACUCUGAGGUUCAGGACCACGCGUGCUUCUCACAUUUAUUGAGACAGAGAGUAUUAAUCAAAAGCGGUUCAAGUUUCCACAAUGAGCUAUACAUCAUCUAAACUCACAUGGAUAUACCAGGUCUGCCUUUCCCUACAAUUUAAGCCUUUGUUUUGGCAGGUAUCAAUCACCUGGUGCUAAACUUGGUGCUUAAUGAUCAACUAGAACAAAGUUUCAUAGCCUUCCAGAUUUGUCAAAUCUACAAUAACAGGAUAAUUCCUGUUAGACAUGUUAUUCUACUGGUACAUGUCAUAUAACGAAAUUCUUGUAUUUUGGAAGGAGAAAACAUUGAGUGGAGCAAUUAUGCAAUUCAAGUGGCAUGGUCAUCAAAGCUUUUGUUUUUUCUUAAUCGUGACAUGUGUUAAUAUUGUGCAAAUCAUAAUAUCAUUUUUUAGGUUUGCAAAUAAAAUUAACCUGAAUAAAGUAUUUUAAACUUAGUGAGCAUAAUAGUGUUUUGUAGUGUGAGGAUAAUAAGGUGAAGUGAGGCUGCUGCUCGCCGGUGGCUCGCCGGCCAUCCGAGAGCCGGAAUUGCGGCCCCACGCGAGGGAAAGAUCAGCGUUGCUGCAACCACGGCAGGACACCCACCAUGCGCGUACCAUACAGGCAGCAUCAGCCUCACUUCACCUUGGAUGACAUUGCGAUUAUGAAAUAUUCAGUCAUUCUCCUUGGGUCUACCUGUUGGACACUUGGACCUACUCAUGUGUUUGAGAUGAUUGUGCAGAAAAGCUGAAAAAGGGGAUAAAAUUCUAUGUGAGAGAUGACCGCUAAAGGAGUGCGACGCCACCAUCCUGUGCCACAAACCAUACCAAGAAUGGCGGGUUAUGGAUAGAGUUCAUUUGAUCCAUCUGAUAAAAAUACCAAUUGGGGAAUAAGCAUGAAAAGUAAUCAACCACUCUUUCCGCAGUGGAGUUCGGGUAUGCCUGCUCCUCUAUUUAUUUGACUAUUGUUAGAUUGGUUCAUCCUGGUAUGACAUGUUAAUGAAGGUGUUGUUUCAUUCCUCAUACGAUCUGGAUACCUUUCAAUUGAUUAGUUCUUCUUUUGGAUUACUCUAUAUUAAUUCCCUAUGUGUAUCUUUAUUAUGUUCCUCAAGACUGAGUAAGAAAAUUAUUUUGUUGAUAUUAAUUUCAAGGGAACAUGGUACCCUACGACACAGGAAGAUUACUGAAAAUCAGUUCAAAAUCUAAUCUUCUCUGUUGUCUGUACUGCAGCCGUGAUGAUCAGAAGUUUAGGACCACACUGUAGUAAAAAAAAAGGAAUGAUCUUCGUAAGCUACACCCUUUUGAUCCCAAUCUUACCUUUUUUAAAUUAGUUUUGUUAGUGCUUCCAUUACUUUCUGUUAAAAUAUGCUUAAUGGGCUAGAGACUGUAUAUUUUCAGAAAGUUAUAGUGUGUGGUAUGUUUGCUGAACUUGUGAUGACGGUUCUUCAGGCAGGACUUUCGUCCCUAUAUUUUAACUUUGAACAUCAUUAUAUUUAGACAAAUGAUGUGUUUACUGAAUUAUCGUUGUUUAAUUUUUGAAGUUAUGCCUUUCGUAAUAUUGCAUUGUAGAUAGACAAAAAGAUAUAGGUAUUAAAUUUUGUGGCUCUAGCAUAAAUGUUUAUCACCACGGUGACAUUUGUUUUUCAAUUUAGAUAAGAAAAAAGAGAUAAGUACUGAACAGAGAGUAGAGAGGAUAAGAGCAUUGUAGUUCAGCGUGGUUCAUGCCAAAGACUGUGAUACAUAUAAUUUCUUAGGAUAGUGCAAAUUCAUUGAUGAUGCAGCGGAAGUAACACAAGUUCUGCUAGAAUUUCUCUCACAUAACAUGCAUAGAGGUGAGUUUUGCAUAAUCCAUCUCAGUAACAAGCUUGCAUUGAGUUAUUCUUUUCAAGAAGCUUACCAUGCACAACUACAGGAUACUUGUAGUUCUCAGUGGCAAUUGAUAGCUACAUUCUUCAAUGGGAGACCUAGCAUGCCUUGAGUACAACAAUACAUGAUCUUCUGGCAACAAACUGUUCAUGAUUGACGCAUAAUAUGUCCUCUGUCCGCAUUUUAAUUAUUUAUAUUAAUAUUUCUGGUUAUCACUGAAGAGUUGAAAUGGAUUUGAUGAGGGAAGUCUGCAAUGCAGACUGUGUUAAGUGUACCCGCUCCAGAUUUCAUCAACAGUAAAUGGUCCACUCCUAUUGGCAAGUGCCUUCUUGUACUCUUCUGACCCAGAUUUGGCAUGUUUUUCAUUUUCUACUAUCAUCGCGUAGUUGCACAAAAAUACGUAAGAGCAUGGCUCAAAACCCACAGAGAGGCACAACUUUGAAAUGGUUUUAUUUAAACAAUGAAACAAUGUUAUUUGACUGAAAAUCUGUAGUAUAUUUUGAUUAUGGGGACACAGCUGAAAUGUAUACACCAAGAAAACAUAACUCUCUUCAGUUGAAUUUUAAAUUCAUGUUGUGGAAAUCAAAUCCAUUUCAAAUUCCAUGAUUUCGGCUAGAAUGAUUUCGGUUAUGUCCCGUACAAGGAGAUUAUCUUAUAGGACAGGCAUAUCAGCCCCCAUUCAGACAUAGCAGAUAUUCAACAGAAGAAGUUCCUCCACUGCUACUGGCCAAACUCUAAGCAAAAAGACCUUCCACUUUCCUUGCUGAUGGUGAGCAACUCAAAGAUGGCUACAAGGUUACACUUAAUAUUUACUCUCUGAAUAACAUAUUAUUUAUGUGACCAAUACAUGUAUAAAUGCCUUGAGAGAACAUGUAUAAAUGCCUUGAGAGAACAUGUAUAUAUAGCUGCAUAUAUGUUAUAUCUGAACAAUGGCAGAUUUGACCAUUAAUUACAUGUAUAUACUUGCUAGGAGAGAACGUGUAUAGCUUUCAGUUAAGCUUUUCGAUCAUUAAGCUGUUACUUUCUCAUCUUAUUUCUAGGUAGAAACAUUAUUGGUGUUCUUUAGCUUAAUUUUGAAACAUGAACACCAUCAUGUCUUCAUCGCUGAAAGUGACAUUCUUUCCCAUUAAUCUGUGCACUCGAAAAUUAUUCAAAUAUAUAUUUCCACUUGGUAGUUUUCAUAUGUCCAAUGGUCUGACGGGUGUGCAUUUUCAGGAGAGUUAGCAAACCUUUUUCCAGUCAUCUGGUGCAUGUAGAUACCAAGUGCUAUUUGAAAUGAAAAUGCAGUUGGCUGCCAAUUUUAUCUUGCGUGUAUGACUGAAUUAUUUUGUCCUGUUAGUUUUAUGUCUAUAUAUGCAGUCUAGUCAGUAUAUGGAUAUUUUAUUAAGUGGAGAAGUUUGGUAUUCUGAGUAA